rnacentral:rRNA from 1 species
CUACGUGCCAGCAGCCGCGGUAAUACGGAAGGUCCGGGCGUUAUCCGGAUUUAUUGGGUUUAAAGGGAGCGUAGGCUGGAGAUUAAGUGUGUUGUGAAAUGUAGACGCUCAACGUYUGAAUUGCAGCGCAUACUGGUUUCCUUGAGUACGCACAACGUUGGCGGAAUUCGUCGUGUAGCGGUGAAAUGCUUAGAUAUGACGAAGAACUCCGAUUGCGAAGGCAGCUGACGGGAGCGCAACUGACGCUUAAGCUCGAAGGUGCGGGUAUCAAACAGGAUUAGAUACCCUGGUAGUCCGCACAGUAAACGAUGGAUGCCCGCUGUUGGUACCUGGUAUCAGCGGCUAAGCGAAAGCAUUAAGCAUCCCACCUGGGGAGUACGCCGGCAACGGUGAAACUCAAAGGAAUUGACGGGGGCCCGCACAAGCGGAGGAACAUGUGGUUUAAUUCGAUGAUACGCGAGGAACCUUACCCGGGCUUGAA